GCUACUACCAGGAUGGAUAGACAACUUGGAUGAAUGAGCUUCAGAAAAGAUCUGAUUUCGCAGCUCACGGUCUUUUGGGACCACAAGUCGAUCUUUGAACCAUAGGAUUCCGUUCUCAUCGACUCGGAAAUGAUUGGUUUCUUCUUCUUUCAUUUUCCUCUUUAUAUGGUAGAUGCCUACAUCUAUUUGCUGCAAUUCGAUGACUCAAUUGCAAAGAGAACUCUCCAGAGCAAUCUGGUUGAGCACAAGUGGG
rnacentral:lncRNA from 1 species